ensembl:lincRNA
GUUGCCCUCCUUCCGUGAAUACCAGCAUAGUACAAAUGCCUUUCGAAAAGCCACUUCUUUGGUGCCACACUGAAAGAACUCAAGGCCAGCCAGCUCCACUGACCUAAAUUGGAUGUAGACUGAAUUAAAUGUAAUGGAUACAGGAGGAAAGGCAGGUGCUAAAAGUACAGUCAUAAGCCUGCAGAAAGCUAUCAGACAUGGAACACCCUUGACUCUUGGUCUCAAAAGAUGCACAGACCUACAGCAGGUGGGGACGCAACUGAAAGUUUUGCACUCUGGACACCUGGAAUUUCCACUCACUUCAGUUACAGCUCUGCCAGAUUUAACAAAUUUAAACAAUCCAAUAAUGUUCCAUGUCUGGUUUGAUGAGAAUAAAAAGCAGUUCUUCCACUGGAUGGUGAGCACUGACAAGGAUGUUGCAGAGGAGUUCACACGUCAGGUAAGGAGUCCAACCCCCUUGUGUUUGUAUUUCCCACAACGCUGAGAGUCUGCAAGUUGGGGAAUAACGUGUUUGCUAACUGUGAGGCAGAUCUCUCCUGCUGAAAUGUUUGACUUGGUUUAUACAGUGCAUGUGGUUUUAUAGUGGUGAGUCUGUCAAGAGUAAACUUGUUCAGAGGCCCAAUGUCUAGUGUCACCCUCAGUUUCUGGGGUUCCAUGGGGAUGCAGAAUAUGGGAUAUGAUGAGUCUUGGAGGGGAAAAGUACAUCCCCUGCAUGCUGAAAUUGGGGGAGCACCUACCUGCCUCUGCUGGGGCUCAAGAAAACUCAGUAAUUUUCAGGAAAGUAAUGCAUCAUAUUUGAGUGGUUUGAUUAAUACUGAGAUACCACUGGAUAACUUCACAAAGGGUGGGCCAUGCUGAACACUCUCUCAGGAGCUAGGACAAGCAUGCUCCUAUCUUCAGGGCUAUUUUUCUUCAAUAAACAAAGUAAUUAAUGUUGGUGUUUUAGGUUACUAUUGUCAUGGUUGAUACAUUGUGUCAACUUGGGCAGUCUAGAGGUUUGGCUAAGUGACUCAGCAGGAAGCCAGGGUGCUUAUUUUGUAUACAUCCUGAGCCUGUGGAAGAGGAGGGCAUGGAGAUUAUGUGAGAGCUACAUGCCCCUUAGGUGGGGGUAGCCUGUUUACAAUGUAAGGGAGGGAAAGAGGCUGCUUGCUGCGAUUCCUCCCGUUUGCUCUGGCUGUUUGCUGUUCGGCUGCCAUUCCCCCCUUUGCUCUUGUUGCUUUGCUGUCUUCUGCCUCAGAGCCAGCCAAGUAUGGACUGAAACCUCCACAAACUGUAAGCUAAAUAAACCUUUCCUUCCUUCAUUUUGGGCGUUGGGUAUUUUGUCUCAGUAACGAGAGAAAAGUAACCAAGACAACUCUCUUAAGGAUUAAAAUUUUUAAAAAUUCUAUUUACUUGGGAGAGUAGUUUAUUUUGUGUUACAUCAAAGGGAAGGCAACAAAUGGCUAAGUUUUUCAAAAUAUAAAUACCAUAACAACAUCUCUCUCUCUCUUAUCAUCAUCAUCAUCAUCACCAUUAUCUACUCUUAGAAAAGAUAACAUUUUAUAUUUAAAUGAUAGGCUACCACAAUCAAAAGAGCCUUUUCUAAAUGUAUGUUUGUUUCUGGAUGUUAACUAAGAGAUGCAAACAGCCAAUAACACCACCAUUUGCAUGCACAUACUUACGUCAUUCAUCAGCCAUCGCUUGAACUCAAGAGGGUCAAACAUUUGGUUGACCUCUGACUCACCUCAGAAGAUCAAGCAUUCUAAGAAAGAAAAGGGAAGAGGUUGUACUUAGAUUACAUUACUAAACCUGUGGUCAGUAUCUAGAAUUCCGUUAGCGCAAGCAAGCUUCAAAGCAUCUCUAUAAUAUAUUUAAUUCAACACUUAAAGGAUGAAAGUCAAA